rfam:Mus musculus chromosome X, GRC primary reference assembly.
AGCCCCUGGUAAUGGGCAAAGAGACACCUUGGUGGUGGUGUUCACAUCAGUCAGGGGCAGAGCAGAUGACAGUUAUGUGUUCAUCCAAGAUUGAUGCCUGGCUGGGUGGACAAAAUUGUUUCAUGCCUGGGACUCAUAA